rnacentral:sRNA from 4 species
UAUCUCUCCGUACGGGGAAGGAUGAGAAGCUUCGACUAAGGUUCGAUUCGAGCGCAGCGAGAAAACGUUGCCGCAGGCAACGACCCGAAGGGUGAGGAGCGGAGCGACGAAUAAUCCUUCCCCCACCCGUC